rnacentral:tRNA from 1 species
GGUGUUCAUAGCUCAGUUGGUGGAGCGCUGCAUCGCUAACGCAGAGGCCAUGGGUUGGAAUCCCGUUGAAGCCC